GGUCACUGCUAUUGGGAUUCGACUAAGCCAUGCGAGUCGAGAGGGUUCGGCCCUCGGCCGACGGCUCAGUAACACGUGGAUAAUCUGACCUUAGGUGGAGGAUACUCUCGGGAAACUGAGAAUAAUACUCCAUAGGCCUAGGAUGCUGGAAUGCACUUAGGCUCAAAGCUCCGGCGCCUAAGGAUGAGUCUGCGGACUAUCAGGUUGUAGUCAGGGUAAUGACCUGACUAGCCUACGACGGAUACGGGUUGUGAGAGCAAUAACCCGGAGAUGAUAUCUGAGACACGAUAUCAGGCCCUACGGGGCGCAGCAGGCGCGAAAACUUCACAAUGUGUGAAAGCACGAUGAGGGAAUCCCAAGUGCUUGCAUGUAAGUGUAAGCUGUUUUUAUGUUUAAAACGCAUAGAGAGUAAGAGCUGGGUAAGACGGGUGCCAGCCGCCGCGGUAAUACCUGCAGCUCGAGUGGUGGCCACUAUUAUUGGGCCUAAAACGUCCGUAGCCGGUUUAAUAAAUGCCUGGGUAAAUCGUGUAGCUUAACUAUACGAAUUCCGGGUAGACUGCUAAACUUGAGACCGGGAGAAGCUAGAGGUACUCCUGGGGUAGAGGUGAAAUUCUGUAAUCCUAGGGGGACCACCAGUGGCGAAGGCGUCUGGCUAGAACGGGUCUGACGGUGAGGGACGAAGCCCUGGGGCGCAAACCGGAUUAGAUACCCGGGUAGUCCAGGGUGUAAACGCUGCUUGCUUGAUGUUAGUUGGGCUCCGAGCCCAAUUAGUGUCGGAGAGAAGUUGUUAAGCAAGCUGCCUGGGAAGUACGGCCGCAAGACUGAAACUUAAAGGAAUUGGCGGGGGAGCACAGCAACGGGUGGAGCGUGCGGUUU
rnacentral:rRNA from 1 species